ACCAUGUUUUGGGAUGCAUGGUUUUUCAUUUUAGACAUUGAUGUCAAUUUCAAACAAGUUAUAUUCCUACCACACUCCUAACAAACCAUAUUUUAAAUUAACAUGCAAUAUUCAGAUUUUAAAGCAAAAGUGCAAGCUAAAAUAUUAACCUGUUAAUUGGUUAAUAGUUAUAAGGCCUAAUGACACCUUUGAAUCAAAAGAUAUACUGUAUUCUGCUUCAUUUUGCAACAAUACUAGGAGGUAAGAAACACUGACUAUUUCCUGGGUGUCAGGUACACAGUACCUUAUUUCAUCUAAUCCAUGGUCAGCUCCUCUUUGGCUCUCGGUACUGAGGAUGAGUUCUGGUCCCAGAGACCAGAGACAGCAGAGAAGACACAAAGUAACCACAGGCCUUUUUCCAUUUCAGUUGGUAAUACACCUCUUCGUUAUGAGAGUUAAUGCAAAUGAGCACAAUCUAAAUGAAGCCCCGCGGAAUUACUCAGAAAGGGGAAGGCAAUGCAAGAUUUCCAAAGGAGUCUUGCAGAGAGAAACAGGAGAGCCCUGGGUGGUAAUAGCUAUCUCAUUUCCUGCUAGCACUUUCUCGCCACAUCACACCACUUCUCUGUUUUUCUGCUUUAUCAAUCAGUAAAAUGAGAGCCUCAAGACAAUAAGGCCCAUGGCCCAGAGAUCAUGAUUAACUGCAAGAUUCAAAAUCAGCUGCAAGAGAACGAAGCUGUCACAUGGGUUUCUAAAGAAUAUUUGCCUCUUUCACUAAAGGGAGAAUGAAGGUUGCUUAACCUCUCUGUGAAAUAAGUUUCAGUUCCUCUUCUAUGAAUGACUGGCUAAACUUCAUUUUCUCUAAGACCCUCUAGUAUUCAGUUCUCUUCCCACCUGCUUGGCCUAAUCCUGCAUGAGAGGCAAUGAUUGAUCUCAGGCAUGUGCUACUCGCUUUCUGGGUACUCUAGAAAUAAUCACAUAGGCCCUUUUGUUUGGCAUGUAAAAAUCCAGUUCUGUCUAAUAGAUUCUUAACCAGUCGAGUUCCAUCUAAGUAGAAUGCUUCUCUCCUACCCUAGCUUGCUCUGUUUCCAUUCAGACGCCUCUCUGUGGGAGGGCCUGCUUCCUUCCCUGGACCUUUGCAUAUCCCAUACCAGGAGCUGUGAACUGAAUGUUUGUGCCCCCAACAAAAUUCUUAUGUUGAAACCUAAGGCCCAAGGUGAUGGCGUGAA
rnacentral:lncRNA from 10 species